CCUUUUUCUUUAUUCAGUCAUUGUAUAGACUGUUUGUGACAAGGUUUUGAAAAGCAUCUGACAAUUUGGGGCUCUUUGAUUUGCAGGUUUCCAGUUGAAGGAUGUGACUUCCCGAAAGUGCAAAGCAAAAAUUCCCUGCAGGCAUCUCUGAAGUGUCUCAGUGGCUAUACGAGGUGUGAGCUUUGUAACUGCAGACUUUCAUUUUGAUUGCAAUGCACUCCUCAAGACCUUGGAGGGCCACUACUACAGGCUAACCUGAACAAGAAUCCACCCUGGCAUGCUCAGUGCCUCAUUUUUUCAGUUCCAAACAAUCCAUACGGUAAACUAGUCAACCCCUCAGUACAUCAGUCUAACACUAUGCCAAAUAUGCUCUCAAGUUUCAAAGCAAUUUGAGUUGAAAGCUCUGUAUCCUUGCAAGCAUACUAGAUACAAGACCUAGAAUCUUAAGUAUAAAUCAGUACAAAGCCUUCACCUGAGGCUUUUCACGGUGGAACUCCUACCUUCCUGUUCCCUAUGAGUUUGAAGAGCU
rnacentral:lncRNA from 1 species